rnacentral:rRNA from 1 species
UACGUAGGCAGCAAGCGUUGUUCGGAGUUACUGGGCGUAAAGGGUAUGUAGGCGGUUCUUUAAGUUUGCUGUGAAAUCUCCCGGCUUAACCGGGAGGGUGCGGUGAAUACUGAGGGACUAGAGUACGGGAGAGGAAAGUGGAAUUCCUGGUGUAGCGGUGAAAUGCGUAGAUAUCAGGAGGAACACCGGUGGUGUAGACGGCUUUCUGGACCGACACUGACGCUGAGACACGAAAGCGUGGGUAGCAAACAGG